UCCGGGGAGGCGGAGCGACGGCAUGAGCAAGGACACGUCGGCGCCGCCGCGUUUCUCCGUGCUUAAUGCCGCAGAAAGGUCGCCGGGGCUUCCGUUUCCUUGCCUAGCGGUAGUAAUGGACGACGGUUUCCGGUUUGGCCCCCGGCCCUUCUCCUCCUUACUUAUUUAGGAUCUGGGGCCAGCUGCAUCAGUUCGUGGGAGAGAUGUUGCUGCUGGAGAUUGGGCUACGGGAGAAUAGAAGAUAGGAUAAGGGAGAGCAUGGGCAGAUGGAGAAGGCCAUGGGGCGUACAUGGACCUGGAUCAGAGCCUCCGAAACUCUGGGCGGUGCUAUGAACCGCGCGACCAUGGCCCGUGCAGACCCUCGACCAGAUUGGGGAGAAGCACAAGGGCGCCUUCGCCCGGAUCGAUCUCCUCGAUUGCCAGAAGGCAGGUACGUGUAGAAAAAAGAUCAAAUUAGUCCGCUAUUUCGCGCAAAAGAAGAAUUGAUCCGUCAUUGGAGGUUCUUGCAGACUGGGUUGCAGUUGAUUGAUCAUUUCUUGUUUGUUCCUGUUCUUAAGUGGUAGACCAUGCGUUUGAACAAGUAUAAUGGCCAGUCCAUGUGGGGCAACACGGUUCAUACGCAGCGAGCCAUCCAACAUCGAUGAUUAGGCGAUGCUACAUAGUAAUAGAUUAAAUUUUCCCUAAAGCGCUCUAAAAAGUAUCCCUACACUGAGCAUGACCUUUUCCUCUUCUCUUGUUCUGGUGUAUCUUCCUUUUCUUGCUUCGUGCGAUGUGCAGAAUGUAGAGGCCACAACAACUGCAAUAAUGUGUGCCACCACCAAACUCUGUUAAGAAGUAAGAAAAUUAGCAACAUAAUUUUGUUAUGGUUGUACUUGUUGUCUUCGAGGAAGAAUGGCAAGCGGAAGAAGCUAGAUGCUACCGGGGAGAGAAAUACACACUCUUUGCAACAUCCCAACAGCUUAGCAAGAUAGAAGUUUUGAGUAUUUCCUGAGUGACAACAGUCAGCACACAGAAAUGGCAUCAGAAGCUAGACAAGCAAUCAGAGAAAUCGGGUGAAAACAAGAGAAAAGUUGCAUUUAUUCCCCUGAGCCUGAAGGUUAUGGUUUUCUUUCGUGAUUCGUCCGGUAUGAUUUCCUACUUUUAAUAGUUUUAGUACUGAAACUUGCUAUUUUAUUCCAGGAGAAUGUUAUAAUUGCAUCUGAUUUUGACAUGACCGUUUGAGGCAGUAAUAAAAUUGCUAAUGGCAAUGUCAUUAAAUGUGCACGAUGUUCUCUUCUAUGCUUUAUUAACUUUUUUUUUUACUGUCUGGACAUUACUACCUUUGAACAGUUUUGUGACACCUGCCUAGGUAUAUCCAAGAAGCUGAAGGCGUUGAUAGCUUUUCUUGAUUAGAUUGCCUUAUGUUUUUUCUUUACAGUUAAAUCAUACAUGUUCAUCUUAGUACUAUUCCUGAUGGGCAAUGUGUAGACGAUCUAAGCUAACUGCUUCCUUGCAAUCUUAUGGACAACUUAAUUACUAUUUCUUAUUUUAUGAGGCUCUGUGUGAACCUUAUACAAGUAUUGUUGUUUGGCAGGUGAAAUACUAGCUUGAUGAGCCAGGUCCGCCUACUUAUACUUGAUGUUGUUGUGCUUGCAAUAUAUUUUUCUUGCUUCGGUGCAUAAUAUGUUCAGAAAUACUUGGUUCAUUUCGAUCACCGCCUCUGUGUACGUUAUACAAGUGUUGUUGUUUGGCAUGUGAAAUACUAGCUUGAUGAGCCAGGUCCGCCUACUUAUACUUGAUAUUGUUAUGCCUGCAAUUUAUCUUCCUUGUUUUUGUGCAUAAUAUGUUCAGAAAUGCUUGGUUCAUUUCGAUCACCGCUUAAUAUCUGGCAGAAGAUUGAUAUUAACUGUGAUGGUUCUCUGUAUUUUCUCUCAAAUACUCAUGUCUUGUUUAUUAAGAUGGACGGGCACCGCAACACCACAUUCAUGUUCUAGAUCUUGUGUAUCAUCUGGCUUUACAAUUGAAACUCAUGAAUGGAGAAUUGUUUAUCUGCCAAGGGAGUGCAGACUGGACAACAUUGAUGGACUUCUACGCGGAUGCAUAGAACGAUGACGCGGAAGAAAAGGGCAUCGGCUUGCAGCAAAAUAGCAGAGAGGGAGUGACAUGCUCGUUUCUUUGGGAUUUUAUUCAGGGACUGCUCACAGAAACUAUGGCUGCUCGACAGAGACCCAGACAAAUACGUACCGGUGAGAGCCAGAGAGGAUGCAUCCCUGGAGAGUUGCGUGGGGAAGCAUAGCUACAAUUUGAGGCAACAUAUUAACCAGGAACAAGUAAGAUGAGUGAUGAGGGGAGGAUUAGCUAGAGGAUGAAGUUUAUGGGCAAUCUGAAGAGUGCCCUCAUGAGAUAAAUUUAUGGACUGUCUAAACUACAAUGCUCUCAGAAUUAAUUUUUUGUAUCGCUUCCCUUCUAUUAGAAAAAUAGGAAAACAACAUCGCUUCUGGAAACUGUGUAUAAACCUUAGUGUAACUUCCUAGCUAUGACUUCUCCGGUAAUGUUCUGAAAUAAUAUAGGCUAAUGUUAUGCAGUCAUGGUGCUGUUGGCACUAGAAUGAAGUGUGCGUUUUCUUUUGAAUAAACCGUACUGUUGUAUUUCCUUAAUGAUAUAACUUGAUGAUACAACUUCUUUUCAAA